GAACAAGUACUGUGAAGGAAGGAUGAAAAGAACGGUGAAAAGAGAGUGAAAAAGUACGUGAAAUUGUUGAAAGGGAAGGGAAUUGGACUAGACUUGGAUUUCUGUUAUCAGCAGUCUUUCGGGGCUGUGCACUAGCAGUUUUCUAGGCCAGGAUCUGUUUGGAGGCCAGGAUAAAACCCAAAGAAUGUGGCUCUUCGGAGUGUUAUAGCUUUGGUUGAAUAVUGGCAUUCUGGACAGAGGACCGCGCUUCGUGCUAGGAUCCUGGCGUAAUAGUCUUAUUCCACCCGUCUUGAAACACGGACCAAG
rnacentral:rRNA from 1 species